CGCGGCCUAUCAGCUUGUUGGUGGGGUAGUGGCCUACCAAGGCGACGACGGGUAGCCGGCCUGAGAGGGUGACCGGCCACACUGGGACUGAGACACGGCCCAGACUCCUACGGGAGGCAGCAGUGGGGAAUAUUGCGCAAUGGGCGGAAGCCUGACGCAGCGACGCCGCGUGGGGGAUGACGGCCUUCGGGUUGUAAACCUCUUUCAGUAGGGACGAAGCGCAAGUGACGGUACCUACAGAAGAAGCACCGGCCAACUACGUGCCAGCAGCCGCGGUAAUACGUAGGGUGCAAGCGUUGUCCGGAAUUAUUGGGCGUAAAGAGCUCGUAGGCGGUUUAUUGCGUCGGCUGUGAAAACCUGAGGCUCAACCUCAGGCCUGCAGUCGAUACGAGCAGACUAGAGUGUUGCAGGGGAGACUGGAAUUCCUGGUGUAGCGGUGAAAUGCGCAGAUAUCAGGAGGAACACCGGUGGCGGAGGCGGGUCUCUGGGCAACAACUGACGCUGAGGAGCGAAAGCGUGGGGAGCGAACAGGAUUAGAUACCCUGGUAGUCCACGCCGUAAACGUUGGGCGCUAGGUGUGGGGCUCAUUCCACGAGUUCCGUGCCGCAGCUAACGCAUUAAGCGCCCCGCCUGGGGAGUACGG
rnacentral:rRNA from 1 species